rnacentral:misc_RNA from 1 species
GAUGAAGAACGCAGCGAAAUGCGAUACUUGGUGUGAAUUGCAGAAUCCCGUGAACCAUCGAGUCUUUGAACGCAAGUUGCGCCCGAAGCCAUCAGGUUGAGGGCACGUCUGCCUGGGCGUCACAUAUCGUUGCCCAAUGCCUAUUGCAGUGCAAUAGGAAUUUCUAGGGCGAAUGAUGGCUUCCCGUGAGCGUUGUUGCCUCGCGGUUGGUUGAAAAUCGAGUCCUUGGUAGGGUGUGCCAUGGUAGAUGGUGGUCGAGUUAGAACGAUACCGAUCAUGUGCAUGCUCCCCAAAAUAUGGCCUCUAUGACCCACACGCGUCUUUUGACGCUCAUGACGAGACCUCAGGUCAAGCGGGGCUACCCGCUGAAUUUAAGCAUAUCAAUAAGCGGAGGA